UAAAUUUUAUAAUGUAUUCCUAAAACAGAAACACAUGUCUUCAACAUAUUGAAGCUUUAAAGACACUUUACCGGAUUGAUCUAAUGUAAUUUUCUCAUCAUUUUGGACUUCUGAAAUGAUAAAUUUGUUAAUUGCUGCAUUUGUUUGGCGAAUGUAAGACCAAAGAGACUGGGUAUGAAUGUUAUUACAAUACCCAUUAUAAAUGUUUAAUUUAGGACUCUUUGUGCCAGACAAUCGAAAUUCACCAUCUGAUAAAAGUUUAUCAUUAGUUCUCCUGUACAGUCCAGCAAUACAAGUAGAUCGAUAAUCAUGUACAGAUAGAUAUUAUGGAGAGGCCCAUUAAUCAUUGUUGUGCAGG
rnacentral:lncRNA from 1 species